UAGUCCGAACGAUAUCCAUAUUGUUUGCGGUGCAAUACAGUAUAUUCAUUUUGUGGCAUGAUGACAGCCACUGAACAGCUGUCUGUGACCUCCCAGGUCCCAAAAAACUCUUUAAUUUCUGGGUGUCACUGGUCCACGAGCCUGCCUCUAUAGGUGAUUUUUAUAUUUAUAAUGAAGUUGAAUGCUUCUAGCUUUGAAACUUAACAUUUAUGUUGCCAUGAUAAAUUUUUACAAAUGUUUUAACAGAACUUAAGCAUAUUGGAUUGGAGAAUAACUUUAAAUCACUAGACAUGUUGUAAAUUUUAAGAUGAGGUACAUUUUUUUCUAGAAUAAUUCUUUAGAAUUAAUGGUCCAUGAAUUUUCUAAGGUUUAAUCAAGUCUUGAACUUUCAGGUUUUGUUAAGGCAUAACACAUAGGAUCCAUCAUCCUUUAAAGAUCUGCUUUCUGUACCAAAUUCUAAUGUAUCUCUCUUUUUUCUUCUUCUUUUUUUCCCUCUUACCCAGUAGUUCACUACUGGGUUAUCUCAAGCAAGCAAGCAAGCAAACAAACAAACAAAACCAAGUAGGCAGCAGGCACCUGUGAGCCAAUAGAGUUCUCCCUGUAGCCUGCAGCCACAGAGCCCGAGGGCCAGCAGGCAGUGGAUGAGAAUUGUCAGAGAGCUUCUAGCCGUUCAGCUGAAUUUCUACACACUGGGUCCUAACAAAGGCAAGGAGUCCCUCACCGUCUUAGCACUGACUCUAGAGUCUGAGUCUAGGCAGUAAAGCCCGUCACAGCUUUGGCUCCUUACUGCUAGCAGAAAGGUGAUCUGUGGCUCCGCGCAGAUCUUUGGGGUUUCUUCUCAUCAUCCUGGACACCCACAAAUGUAGAACCAGAGGAAAAGGCAGCUACUUUAUGUCAGAGAAGCCUUGACCUCCCCAGGUGACAAUUCUGCUUUUCAUGAUUCCCCUUCUGUCAAGUACUGAAGACAACUUAGAGCAAAGUUUGGUUCCUGCCAGCUCUUUAUUAGGGAGUGUCUGAAAAUUACCAUUUCACUGUGUGUGGGGGGUGUAUGUUAGCAUGAACACAAUCUGAGAAUCACAUCUAUGCUAACACCAAUAUAUGUGAAGCAAGUAUCUGUUAAUGGGAGCGUAUCCUACUGCUUGGGAAUCACACAUCCUCACACAAAUGUCUGGUGCAGGUGCUCUUAGCAUUCUCAUGAGGCAAAGAACACAGUUAGUGCAAUAAAUGGUAAAAUCAUGAUCUUAUUAUGUACUAAAUUUGAAUGUUUAAUUUAGAAAAAAAGGAAAUAUGUAAUUUAGUGACCACUUCUGUUAUCAUUUGUACCAUAAAGUCAAUGAGAUAUCACUGCAGUUUCUAAAAUAUUUUGUAUAAUUCUCAGAUCUAAGUUUUAGAAGAACAAAGACUAUGCUGAUUUGAAGAGUCUUUUAGAGUACUGGUCACAGAUUAUUUAAAGUUUUUUUUUUAAAAAGGUGAUUAAUACUAUACUUUUAGUGUAUUACAUUAGUCAUGAAAUAGAUUUUAAGCUUUGAUAUAUUAGUUGUAAAAAUCAAUGUCUAAUAUGCUUAUGAAUUCUGUUAUUUGUACCUUUCAGAGGGGGCAAACUCCAAAGAUAGGUUAUGGUCAUAUUUUAGCUUUUUAGUUCCUCUGAGCCUCCCUCAGAAGGUGGAAGAAGAAAGCUCAUUUUGUCAUGUCCUGUCUAAUUUAACUUACAAGUGUGUAGACUUUAGCGACGCUUCCUAAACUCAAAGCUUUGGCAGGACUGACCUGGCCACCUAGCUCUCAGGCUGCUUCUGAGCGGGCUCAGGGAGGGACCUCAAGGUUACGUCUAAAUUGUAAGUAAGUGUUGGCUGGUGAUGAUACUGGCUUCUGCAUCCACCAGGAGUUGGUGACACUGGGCACACCCUGAGGUCACCACAGUUCUUCAAGUUGAGCAAACUAUUGACUAAACUUGGCCAAAAUUCAAGUCUGCUGAAACAUGUUCAAAGUUUAUUCUUAAAUAACUAUGCAAAAUAGCCCUCUAAUACAGACUGCAAAAUGAGAGAACUUGCAAUUACACUUUUAUUUUAAAACAUACAUUUUUUAUGCCUGUCAUCUUUACAAUAAUACAUAUUGAGAUCUUAUAAGAUUUUAAAUCAUUGAAAAUUUUACUAUAUACAAAUAAAAACAAAUAUC
rnacentral:lncRNA from 1 species